rnacentral:rRNA from 1 species
UACGUAGGGGGCGAGCGUUGUCCGGAUUUAUUGGGCGUAAAGAGCGUGUAGGCGGUUCGGUAAGUCUGUCGUGAAAUCCUGAGGCUCAACCUCGGGCGUGCGAUGGAUACUGCCGGGCUAGAGUAAGGUAGGGGUAGAGGGAAUUCCUGGUGUAGCGGUGAAAUGCGUAGAGAUCAGGAAGAACACCGGUGGCGAAAGCGCUCUGCUGGACCUUAACUGACACUGAGGGACGAAAGCUAGGGGAGCGAAUGGG